CACUUAACAAAUUGAAAGUUACUGUAGAAAUCAAAGCUUCAUCCUAAUCCAUAUCUCAAAAUCAAAACCCAUGUGUCAGAAGAAAUCAAGAGGAAACUCUGUAACACUAGAUCUAGUUAUUUUACUCCUGAGGGUAAUAUCAAUCUUGUUCUCGUUUCAUAAAUUGACGAACUUUUAGUAUUGUAAAUGAUUUAAUUUCUUUUGAUGUUCUAUCGUUUUUGCAGCUAGGUGUUUCUUUUUUCUAUUUUUCCUUACAAGAGAACUAAUCCAGGGGUAGAAGAUCUCUUCUCCUAGUAACUUCGCAAAAGAAGGAUUUAACCUCAUCAUAGAAUGGGUAUCCUAAACCAGCAGAAUAGAUAAUCCAAAGCCAUAUUCAAGGCUCAUAAUUGUCAUCAUGUUAUAAUGACACCCUCAGAAAAUCAAGGUUCGUAAAUGCCAACUUCAAGCAUUAACCCUUGUUGAUAUUGGAUUAAGUUAGCUACUGGUUGGAGGCCAUGUGCAUUUUAGGAGGAAAUAAAUGCUUUUUAUUUUUCUCUUUUUGGCAUGAGGCACGGUGGGGGCAUGAGUACAUCUAAAGC